rnacentral:lncRNA from 1 species
AUGCUUUUCAAAUCUGUUUCUUCAAAUGAUGGUGACAAAAAGGCAGAAGCUUUGCCAGCCUUUCCCAGGGUGUGCUAUUGUGUUGCACUUUUCCUGCUGGAGCCCUGGCUGCUGCACGUUCCAUGGAGACUCCAAUGCACAGGGAACAGAAGUCUCCUCCUUUAUUGCAGAAAUUAUCCGGAAAGUGACACUGAGCAUGAUCUGCUUCCAAAAUGCCACACCACAUGCCCAGCUCUCUCUGCCAGCUGUCCUGGCCUCCAGCAACCCCGCCUCAGCAUCCCCGUGGGAGUUUCAUGCAGAGAGCUUGCAAUAAUCAAACAGGAAGGGGAUGCAAGGCGAUCAGUACGUGGAUUUGACAAUGACAAAGUGGUUCACUCAGAUUCAAGGAUAUCAAAGAAAGGCCUAAGUACCUGAGAUCUCAUUUCAAAUCAGUUUGGAUGGUUACAUUUCACUGAGGUUGGGAACACAGAUAAUCAGAUCUGCUCCAGCAUUGCUCUAAUUUAGUUAAAAACAUUUCUAUCAAGGACAGGUGUACCAUGAAGUUACCGAGGCUUGAGCUUCAGGGACCCUGAUUCCAGGCCCAUCCUCAGGUCCUGGGGGGCACCCUGCAAUGUGUUUCUGUUCAUUCGAAGCAAAUAUACACGAUUAUUCCUUACUUUCAUUUGUAAUGUUAUGCGCUUAUUUUAAUAAAGACUCUCUCGUGAUAUAUUUAAGCUCCACAAGGAAUGAAGGGGCAAGAUGACGAAUCUUAUUUGAAUAUGAGAGCUUAGUUGUAAAGACGUCUUCCUCUGAAUUAUGAGAGAGGAACUGUGUGUGUCCAGGUUUGUGUAUUAGGGUGUUGUGUGUCUAUGUAAGGGAGUGAAUGUGAAUGUGAAUGUGAAUGUGCGUAAGGGCAGGUGUGUGUGUGUGUGUGAGAGGUAGGUGCUUGUGUGUGUGUGCAAGGCAGGUGCUUGUGUAAGGCAGGUGUGUGUGUGUGAGGUAGGUGCGUCUGUGUGUGUAAAGCAGUGCAUGCUUGUGCUUCAGGCAGGUGCUUGUGUGAGUGUGUAAUGUAGAAGCCUGUGUGUGUGUGUGCCCUCAUACACCAUGGGGUAGAAGAGGAAGAAUAACCACAGG